rnacentral:rRNA from 1 species
GACGAACGCUGGCGGCGUGCUUAACACAUGCAAGUCGAACGGAAAGGCCCUGCUUUUGUGGGGUGCUCGAGUGGCGAACGGAUGAGUAACAAGUGAGUAACCUGCCCUUGACUUUGGGAUAACUUCAGGAAACUGGGGCUACUACCGGAUCGGAGCUCCUGCUGACUGGUGGGGGUUGGAAAGUUUCGGCGGGCGGGGAUGGAAUCGCGGCUUAUCAGCUUGUUGGUGGGGUAGUGGCUUACCAAGGCUUUGACGGGUAGCCGGCCUGGGAGGGUGACCGCCGACAAUGCGACUGAGAGAGGGACCAGACUCCAACGGGGGGCAGCAGGGGGGAAUAUGGUGCAACGGUGCGAAGCCUAAUGCAGCGACGCCGCGUGCGGGAUGUCGGCCUUCGGGUGGUAAACCGCGUUCGCCUGUGACGAAGCGUGAUUGACGGUAAUGGGUAAAGAAGCACCGGCUAACUACGUG